rnacentral:rRNA from 1 species
UACGUAGGGUGCAAGCGUUAAUCGGAAUUACUGGGCGUAAAGCGUGCGCAGGCGGCCAGAUGUGUCAGGUGUGAAAGCCCGGGGCUUAACCCCGGAAUUGCGCCUGAAACUGUCUGGCUAGAGUACUGGAGAGGGUAGCGGAAUUCACGGUGUAGCAGUGAAAUGCGUAGAUAUCGUGAGGAACACCAGAGGCGAAGGCGACUACCUGGACUGAUACUGACACUGAGGUGCGAAAGCGUGGGGAGCAAACAGG